rnacentral:rRNA from 1 species
AUACGUAGGUGACAAGCGUUAUCCGGAUUUACUGGGCGUAAAGGGCGUGUAGGCGGUCUUGCAAGUCCGAAGUGAAAUUCCUGAGCUCAACUCGGGCGCUGCUUCUGAAACUGCAGGACUUGAGUGCUGGAGGGGCUAGCGGAAUUCCUAGUGGAGCGGUGAAAUGCGCAGAUAUUAGGAAGAACACCGGUGGCGAAGGCGGCUAUCUGGACAGUAACUGACGCUGAGGCGCGAAAGCGUGGGGAGCAAACAGGAUUAGAUACCCUGGUUGUCCACGCCGUAAACGAUGAAUACUAGGUGUCGGGUUUCUAUAGAGAUUCGGUGCCGCAGCAAACGCAAUAAGUAUUCCACCUGGGGAGUACGUUCGCAAGAAUGAAACUCAAAGGAAUUGACGGGG